CACCUACGGGGGGCAGCAGUAGGGAAUCUUCCACAAUGGACGAAAGUCUGAUGGAGCAACGCCGCGUGAGUGAAGAAGGGUUUCGGCUCGUAAAGCUCUGUUGGUAGGGAAGAAAGAUAGAGGGAGUAACUGGCCUUUAUUUGACGGGAAUUACUUAGAAAGUCACGGCUAACUAAGUGGCAGCAGCCGCGGGAAUACGUAGGUGGCAAGCGGUGUCCGGCUUUAUUGGGCGUAAAGCGGGUGGA
rnacentral:rRNA from 1 species